CCUGUGAAAUAUUACUCAUCUUGUGAACUCCGUGCAUGCAUAUGUGCCAGGGCAAUAUUAUGUGCUGAUGUCCUAGUGGCAGCAGUGAUAUAGAGAAGAAAGGUGGUGGUUGUGCCAUCUUCUCUCCAAGAGGAAUAAAGGGCAGGAGGUCUGUCUUUUCAUCCCUCAUUCCUGACCUAAAACUGAACGUAUCAGCCCUGGUUCUAAGCUAAUACAAUUAUCAGAAUAACUGAAAAUAAAAGAAAAAGUGCAGGUAGUAGAAUGAAGGAGGCUGAAAUCUGAAUUAUGGGGACAGUAUACCCUGCUGCUGCACGUGUGUAAAGAAUGUUGUGAGAGGGAUUCUGCUUCCUGUUAAAUUGUAUAAAAGUCCAGAUUAUUUUAUUAUUCUCAUUACUAACCAUCACUUAAAAAAGGAACUUCGCAUCACAAAAAGUUUUGUGUUGGUUAUUCUUUUUCCAAAUUUACUUUCAAGACAGGAGACAUGUUACAUAGGAGAGAAUUAAGUCAUUUCGAGAUUGACUUCCCUUUUAAAAGGAGAUGACCCCCAGAAGGAGGAAUACAGCCAACGUGCUCCAUCCCAUCCAUUUAAGAGUGGUGAUCUCAGGUGUUAUCACCCCAGCUGCCAGAGCACUUGUCUGCUGCAGAGAUGGCACAAAUCAUCUGCAUUGCUCAUUGACCAACAUAAAUCGCCAUCAUCGCUAUACGAGGCGUAGCAGUGGAUUGGCAAGGUGACAUAACAACUAUUUGCAAGUCUACAUGCUGUCUGAUGUUACUAAGGUAACUAAAUUGCACAGCAAUCUGCUCGGAAGUCCCUAAGAAGAUAAAGUGGUCAGUGCUGCUCUGCUUUGAAGACAUCAGGUACCAACCCUUUCCUGCAUCAUGUGGAAUCUAAUGAGAAGCAGACAUCAUUUGGUCACAACACUACAGAUAGCUUGCAGAAAAACAGUAAUACAAGUUAUUUCUUCCCCUCCAUCCAGCCCUGCUUUUUACAGAAUAUUGCUGACCGGCUGAAAUGUUACCCAAGCAACAUCCACUCUUCAGUUUACUUCUCUCAGCAGCUUCAGUUGAAGAAGGAACAAGACCCAGGAAAGUGUUUGGAAAUCUCUCUUGCAUCCUCCCAGUCUGAGGCCAACCAGAGGCAGAGCAGCUCCUGUUUACAUAGGAUUUGAGCACCAUUGUCACUGGAAGAAAAAAUAUUCCAGUGUGAGAGGGAUCCUCAGAUGGCAAGGCUGUAUCGAGGAGAGGGCUUUGAAUAAGCCCGGUGCAACUGAGAAAAGAUGUUGGAUGAAACGAACUGGAACUUCUUCUCUAACGUGGAUUUUAUGCUUGGUGCCAUGCAGACAGCAGUGGGGGGAGGGUGAUUUCAGUCUCUGCUACACCAACAAAAACAAACGUGUUGUUUAAACUUGGCAUUGACACAAAUAAAAUAAAAACUGAGCUGUUGUUUGGAGUCUUCGUGUAUUUGAUGGGGAUUCAAGGGGGUAAGGAAGAUGCUGCCAGCAGGGGCAGGCAUCAAAACCAACCGAACCCGCUGCAGUAUCAGUGCUUGAAGGAGCAAAUAGACGGCAGGAAGGCAAGGGCUUACCCCACGCCCCAUGAGGUGCUGAAUGGUGCUGAGGCACUUUAAGGCCUGCAGUGCCCCACCCCAAACUGUUAAUGAGCUCAUUAAUACCCGUUGCCACUCUCUCCCUCGCACCCAGCUCAGGGCAAUGGCCUUCAAAGAGAGGAGAACAGCUCGCUGUGAAGAGCUGCGUUCUUGGAGGGGAGUUUGCCCAGGAUGCCAGGAUGCUAUAUGAAAACCUUGUCCUCCAUUUGUACUUCCUCACCCUAUGGUGCUGCUCUGCAUCAGUUGCUGCAGAUGAAGAAAUGGUGCCUUUCAGAAGACACUCACUAAGUAUAGCAAAACCAUUUUAAAAAGGGAUUGUUCUGCGUGAAGUACCGCAUCAACAGAUAGCAGUAUGGAAAUGGAAGAAAAUUAAUAACCAUUCAUACCUGUAUUGGCAAACUAUGAUCAUAUAUCUGUGGGGAAACUUUCAAUUUCAGCGUUUAACAGUUCAGGUGAAGUAGCAGCAAUUUUUAAGCAUUGACACAAGACAACAAGUCCAAAAAUCUGUUUGGACUCUUUGAAGGAGGAUAUUAAGAAGACCCUAAGGUGGCAAAUGUUUUAACACAGAUCCCUCACGGAGGCUCAAGGGCAGAAAGAAUAGGUAAUUUAUCAUAUCCUUUGCAUAGAAACAAUUUCACUUCCUGCAUACAACUGAGGAAGUGCAAUAUGAAAGAAGAAAUUGAAAACAUGGCAGUUAUAUAACAGUACCGUGUUUUCUUGGGGUAAAAUGUAUACAUCAUCCUAAGCCCUUCAGUGGAUGAAUUGAACACACAUUGCCAAACACAAGAAGAAAAGACAUUAAAGCGAUGAGGAGACCAUGUUAAACGUCAGGAAAAGAACUCAUAAUACUCUACGUAGAAGAAGAGAAGCGCUAUUACUGGUUCAAAAAUAAAAAGUGUUACUAUUAAUGGGGUAGACUUCACAGCCUUUAUGAAUACCAAAUAAUAGAAAUUAAUUAGAACCGUUAAGGCAUAAGUUCCACUGUAGGUGUAUCGCUGUUUGGUGUAACUGGUAAGUUGUUGCUCCUUUAAGCCACGCAAUGUGACUGUCUGUUUGUAAGAGUGCUUCAUGUCAGUUCUUACAUCCCCGGUCCAUUUUAAUGCUUGUCCCGGUUGAUUUAACAUAUGGCAGCAUAACGCAAUGGAAAGCCCAACCUUGACGGCAGAGCAGCAAGAUCCCAAGCCACAGCAAGCGAGGAUUCACUCAAACACAACAGCAGCAGGCACAGAAAUAAAGAAAAGAAU